rnacentral:rRNA from 1 species
UACGAAGGGGGCUAGCGUUGCUCGGAAUUACUGGGCGUAAAGCGCAUGUAGGCGGCGAUUCAAGUUAGAUGUGAAAGGCCUGGGCUCAACCCGGGAACUGCAUUUGAUACUGAAUUGCUAGAGUCCAAGAGAGGGUAGUGGAAUUCCCAGUGUAGAGGUGAAAUUCGUAGAUAUUGGGAAGAACACCAGUGGCGAAGGCGGCUACCUGGCUUGGUACUGACGCUCAGAUGCGAAAGCGUGGGGAGCAAACAGG